UCACAUUAUAAAGAGAUAAAACUAUAUACAUUUUUAUAAGCAAAGAAAAAAAAAGAAAAAAUAUGGCUGAAAUUCUAAAAUUUGUUUAUGCAAUGAUUCUAUAUUAGUAACAUUAUUUUAUUCUCUUUGUUUACGUAAUGAUUCUACUUUCUUUCCUUAUUUUUGGUCGCAGCGCGAGUUUACCCACGUAUACGUGAAUGUGAGCACGAUGAUGAUUGUCCACAAAUUGUUUCAUCUAUGGUUAUGAGAUGCAAUAAUUACAAUUGUGUAGCUAUUAACCAUGAAGAUAUAUAGUUUGUAGAGAAUGAGCUUUUUAGCUAGCAAAUGCCAUGAAUGGGAAGAAUGAGCUCUUUAGCUAGCAAAAUAUUUGUGCAAUAUAUCUUAUUUUAGAAUAUUUCAAAGUUGUUAUUUAGUUAUUGGUACUCAAUAAUGAUAAUAAUAAUUUUCUAUUUUUAUUUCA